ACUCGGACCCUGCGCGCUCAACCCAAACCCGAGGAAGCAUAGUUGCAUUUAAACUGCGAUCCCACCGAGGUCUCUCUUCCGAGUAGUCCGUCGGCUUGCCCAGCCACACUCGAGGAGCGCGCGUAUACCUCGAGGCACGUACACCCGCACUCCGGAUACCGAAACGCCGCGACACUUGUCUCUCGCCUCCGUAUCCCCCUCGUCGUCGCUAUUUUUUUAUUCGCCUUUGUCCGCGCCGGGAGGGGGAACGAAAACGUACCGGAAAAGUGUCCAGAGAACGAAAAAUGGGGUUGUCGCGCGUCAUCGCGACGGGGAAACCGGGACGAUGAUUUUUCUUUGCGAGCAGUGACGAGAAAAACGAGUAAAACGCGCGCGGGACGAGUUUGCUCGGAGGUGUUCAUCGGGCCUCCAGUGAAUAGUGUCGCGGAAACGGUACGUUGGUUCAAGGAGGAAAAGCUGAUCGUUGUUGCCGGAUAUCGAGGGAACGUAGAACACCAUACAGACGCUGUUUAGCUGCUUUUUAUGGCUUUCCCGUCGAAUCAAGUGGAAAUUCGAUCGAUCCCAUAGCGGUCGGAGCAAUCUUCUCGGCUUCGCUCGUACGCGUCGUUCCGCGCUGUCGGAAAGUCGAAUUCGAUUCGUCCGGAUAGUCCGGCCCGGGACUGUCAAACUUCCGCUCAGGAUCAGCUGCUUCGCGAGCCAUCCGUGUAUACGGGAUGUCCUAGAAGUGUGCGUCGUCUUUUUUUUUCCGCUCCGUUCGUCGAAGUUUUACGUGCGUCGAGUGGGGAAAACGACGGUCUCGUCUGGUAGCUUUUGAUUCAUUUCGGUGACAGAGAUGGGCAUCAUUUACCUCGAAUAAUUGAUAACGGAUAGGGUACGCGAUUCAUUCAUUUGUAGCGUCCGUUAGCCUACUCCAUUCGUAAAACGUUUCAUUCUGCGAUUAACAUUCUAGUUCAAAGAUGGACGAAAUUUUCUUUCCGUAAUUGAUAACGUAUGGAAAGUUAAUCGUGACGUUUAUUGGACAGUUAUAUCAUUGAUUGUUAACUCGUGUAAUAUUUCGUUCCGUAAUUAAUAUUCUAGUUCAAAGAUGGACGAAAUUUUCUUUUGUUAACGGAUUGCGUACAGGAACUUUACUCGUGGAGUUUAUUCAAUCGAGGAGUUCAAUUUUUAAGCCUCCAUUGUGGAAUAUUUCAUUUCGACAGAUAGGUUCUGCUUUUAUUCGUUGUUCGAAAUUUUGAUCCAAGUGUAAAUGUUGGCCACCUCUGUUCUGUCGAAAUGUCACUUUUUGGGAAGGCAAUCAAUCGGGAAAACCCUAUACCAGGUACGGGCAAUAAUUUUAUUCGAGUAAUCGAUAACGAGUUGAAUCAAAGUGUAACAAUGUAUCGAAGAGUUAAACUUUUAUUCCACGACUCAAAUUUCAAUUUCUAAUUAACGAAUGAUGGACGAACAGUCCAUCUUUUAUUCAUUGUUUGACAUUUUUACGUAUACCUUUCUUGCUCUAUUUUAGCUAGAAAUGCCUUAUCGACCAAAAAACCCCUCCAGGAAUUUUUCCGCAAGGCUUCUCGUGCUUCUAUCGAGUAACUUGUUGACGUCUCUCGUGGCCAACACCACGGUCCACGGCGUUUUAAAUCUGCAGUUCCACGAUUACGCAUUCCCACAGAACCAGUGAGCUCGUGUAUUACACUUUCGCGACCAUUUUUGUCGAAUCCUUGGAUUUACUCGCAAAAUUGCUCGACACAGGUGUAUGGAUCAAUAAAAUAUUUUGAUUUGAAAGUUACGUAAUUCUGCCGAAUCGGAGUUAAGCAAAAUUGUAUUCGAUCUAGAUAAAAAAUAAAACCUCCGAGCAGCGAUUUAUAUAUACGCUUUUUUUCCUUCGAUGUGAAACAAAAUUUGAUGGGUACCGUAGGUAUCGCGGGGUAUUCGCAGCCAUUUAUAAUUCAACGUUGCGACCUACAUUGUUAUAUAUUCCACAAUAAAAUAGAAUAAAGCGUAGAGAAUCUACCAACACGAAAUACACUCACAAAUAUUGAAAAUAUGUACUAUGAUAAUUAUUGAAUGAAUAUUGGACGAAAAGUUUUUAUCCAGAUGAUAAUAGCGCUCGUCUCCGCGCAAGAUUAUGUGUCAUGGGUUGCUCGUGCUUCUUCCCCCUUAAAUAAAUACAUAAAUUUGGUACUUAGGACUCGAAGAGCCAACUUUGAAUUAUCGAUUCCAUCGAAGUCGUUUCUUUUGCCUUUCGUCGGCAUUCGGACACCGAGAACACUGUGUUGCGCGCUGCUCGAGUUAAUUAGUCCGGUUAAUUGCCUUCGUUAUAUCGGGAGAGAGAACUUUUCACUCGACGAGACGGGAAGGGAAACAAGUUUUUGCAAAUUGCGUUAUCUCUGAUUUCGUGAUUUCUUGCCAACCGCGUUGGACUUUUCUCGUUGCUCCAAUGUUCUCAUAGUUUCCGACAAAGCCAGAUUCCAUCGUUCGCUUCGAUUCGGAAAUGAACAAUAUUUAUCUGACCGCGCAUUUGUAACAUCCGUUAUUUUAAACGUCCUCAUAUUUUAUUCGUUCAACGUCUUCGUUGCAUUUGACAGAGAGAUUCUCUACAAGAAGAGUAAGCGUUCUACGAAUUCAGUGCACACCUGAUUAAUCGCUGUACGUUUUAUUCGUUACCUAUUAUUCCGUUCAAUUUUGCCCGUGUCUACUUCAAACUUCUUAGGAGUUUUUCGUCGCGACGUGAACGUUCAGGUGUUUUCGGAGAAUGAGGCAGGACUUCGCGGAUUCGUUUUGGAAGUACACUUUCCUCAUUUUCGCUCGACAAUUGGUCCACGAAGGACGACCAAACGCUGUUGCUACGUGCUCGACGGUGCCACCUUUAAAGCCGAUACCGCGAAAUAAAGUGCUCGCGGUGACAGAAUUCUAACGAGUCCACGAAUAAUUGUAGAGUGUACCAGAAUGGUUGUGUGCCAACGUCAGACAGGCAGAGAUUCUUCAUAAUUGGAUAGUGUCGUUGCUAGAAAGAACUUCUGUGUCAGCAGUUAAACGUAACACGUUCGAUAAUGUUCCCUCGUUAAAGACUUUUGUAUUUCAUUUUGCGAUAGUGAAUUAAAUCAGACGGUUCAGAAGAUACUCUCUCUGGAGUGCAUGUGUGCUCAUAUAUCAAGGACAAUUUUAAUAGGUUUCAUUUUAUUACGCGUAGUUUUGAAUGAAGGAUUUGUUGUUAUGAAUCAAACAUUCAAAGUCAAUGUAAAAUAUAUUUUAACGAGAAACACGAUCAUAAUUGAAGACAAAUUAUUAUAUAUAUAUAUAACUUUACUUGACUGUACUUUAUUUUUAUUCUCCUAUUCUCAUUUUUCUUCAUUCAUUCUAAGAUACAUAAUUUUUCAAUAAUUAUGAUUCAGUUUACUAUUAGAACAUACGUGAUACUUGUUCUGGACUUCCACUCUACAGAAACUAAUAUUGUAUUACCACACAUUUAAUAGACAUACUUCAAUGGAGAAAUCAUGCUCAAAGUCGAUACACGUGGUAAAAGAUGUUCUCUUUUUGGCAGUUAGGUCCUACGGUACAUCCACCGUAGAAUUUCUGGCCGGCUAACCAGUGAUUCGUUCGAAAAAUUAAACACUCUGUGUGACAGCCUUCCGUCUCCCCUCUCUUUUAUAUUUCCUAGCGUCGAGGUUCGAUCCUGGCCGUAAAAUUUCACCCAUCGGAAUUGCGCUGUUCGCGUCUGAAACAAUACCCGCCGCGGAAAAGGAUAAAUUAAUUGGACAUCGUUUCGGAUAAUGUUGGCGCUCCCCUGUAAAACGUUUCGUAUCGAGCGGCUCGAAUUAACGUAAUAGUCCCGCUUAUCGAUAUCCGAUCGGUUCAGGGGUGCCAACAAACACGUUCAAUAUUUAACUUCUCGUUCCAGUUGUAUUGUUUGAGGAUCGUUACGCCCCGAACCUUUCCCUUCCGCUCCGAGCGGCGCACAAACGCAAAUUAUCGGCGGUGAACGAAAGUUCUGGCCCCUUCUUCGCACCUCCGAUUCCGAGUAUCCAUUUUUAAGCCUUUCGACCCAUUUUCCCCCGUAGCUCCGAGCACCUCCUCUCCCCUUUCUGGCUUCCUUCCGAUUCGCGAAUCAUGCGCGUUCGCUCGAGACGAGUCCAAGUGACUGUCGCACAGUGGAUUGUUUGACUUCGACAUUCGACCGGAAUUAUUUCAUCGGUCAAAGAGCAUGGACGGUUCAACGCAGAUAUUUAGUGAAAUUAAAUUAAUAGACACGCGAAGAGAAACCAGAUAUUGGGUUGUUUCUGAAAAAACUUCGUUAUUUUGUUUGUGAAAAGGAAAUAAUUAUUUUGUAAUAUUAGGUGUAGAUGUUAAUUCUGCGUUUUCUAAGACAAUGUUACCAUUUGUUUAUAAGGAAAUAUUAUGCAAGUCUCAGCCUGGUGGACAUUACAAGUUUUUUUAUGUUUAUGAAGUCAAGUAAUUUACAAAUUUUGCUUAUUGUUGCUCUUCUAACAGAUUGCACUUGCACUUGACUGUUGUUAGGUGUAGAAGUUGAUCAUCUGCCUUCGUAUUUCAUUAUUUACGACGCUAGUUUAAACAGAAAUAUUUACCCGUGACCCAUAUUUGGGCGCAGGGCUUCUCACUAAUUGUAAGAAAGUGAAUCGAUUAUUUCCAUAGAUGAGAUUUUACGGAAAAUACGUCUACAUAGGAUUCGUGAAUUUGAGAAAGUUGCAAAAACGAGUCCUAGUAUAGAUUCGACAUAAGUAAGUUGUAUAGAAACAAAGCCUUAGACUCGUACAAAUUUGUAUGAGUAAUCUAUCGAAUCCUAUACAUUCCUUUGAAGUUUGGUUUUACACCUGCACGUGCCCUCCUGCAAUGUAUGACCGAGGAAAAAUUGAAAAUUUCUAUUUUAUCUUAAUACACAAAUAAGAAUAUUCAUCGUAUGCUUUAAACUAUUCGAAGCGUAAUCGUUACUGCCUUCGUCGAAACGAAGAGCACGCGCUCACCUUAGCUUUGAAAUAUUACAAAUUACUCGUUUACAUUAUAAUUGCAGAUUGCUCACUGCUUGCACGCUGUGAGUGAUUUCAACAGAUCUAAUCAGAAAGUAAUCACGGCCCGACGAUGGUUCGCUUCCACUCGCGUUCGGUGGGGUGUACUUGAAUGGCUCGUUUCGUUUUUAUUAAUAAAGAUAUAAAUUAAUAACAAUAAAAAUUUAUUGAGCCCGUCGAGCGAGACACGAGUCAAAUCGCCGCCGCGGCCGGAUGGAAUGGACGCGACGCGAUCCGGCCGACAAAUUGCAAUCCCAAUUCGCAGCUUCUGUAAUUACCGUUGAUACUUGGUUCCGUGUCGCGGGAUCGUUACACGCCGACCAAAAGGUAAUUUCUUACUCCGUGUAAUAACACGCUCCUACGGCUUGUGUACACACAUCGGCCGCCACUUUUGUGCAACUAUUACGGCAAUUACCCUGCCUGCACCCCCACCCCCAACCGCACCACCCCAACCGCGUCGAUCGCUUCGACAUCAACUGUUGCACGAGUUAUCCGCGACUCUCGACGGAAUUCGUUACGUGUUCCCGUUGAUUAAUUGAUUCAUUAGCCACCAACAAACACGAACUUUCCACUCUGGACCUAAAAAUGAUCGUUCGGGGAGGGGAGGCAGGGCUAGCUGGUGUCUGGUCGACCAACAGAUUAGGGGUUGUUCAGAGUUUUCCGAAUAGGUCGUCGAGCUUUGAAUUGAUCAGUCCCAGGGACGGGCAUUAACUUGUAUUAACGCUAGGUUCACGGUGAUUCCUUAUCGGAUUUUCAUUAGUGAAGUAAUGCUUUAAUAAGUGAAUUUGAAUAUAUGCUUGUCCUUUUAUAUGGAUAAAAGUCAGCGUAGGUGGUUGGCGAAAAAUAUAAAUGGUUUCUGUAAAACUUUGUCAAAUUAGAAAUGGGUCACCUAAACCUAACGUUACACUCGUAUUUUAUUCUUACUGUUUCAUUGAGUCAGCUCUGAUACUUGAUUUGUCACAAAUGUGUAGAUUGCUUAAAUUAAAAACUAUUGUCAUUACUGAUUCCAAGUCGUAGGUAUUCACGUUCUGUCUUUCGAAAUUUAGUGUAAUUGUAAUAUUAACGAAUAUCGAGGGUGACUCAAAUGCGGGAGACAAUAUUUUUACCCAGACCUAACCCAUUGGCUACCAGAUGAAUUUAAAGCGUUUUGCCUUAGGCACCAAGACCUAAUACAAAUGUAUAAUCUAAAUUAUUAUUUUCGUAAUAAAAAGUGAUAUUUUUAUUCUUUUAAAAAGAAAAUUUGCGAUCAUUCUUUCGUAAUAAUUCGUGACUCAAAAACUUAUCCCUCGAGUAAUUGAAAUCAGUUUGAACUAGGAGGCAUCUCGUAGUGAAUUGGUUAAACUUGCCAAUUCAUGCAUCCUCGAAUCUAUAAUUCUUCAAAGAAAAUACAAAGUAAUUUACCAAUUGUAAAUCACAACCAUAAGGCGAUCCUAAUGUAUCGAACGAAACUCCAAUCGAUCAUUUUAAGUUCACUAAUCACGAAAGUGUGCUCGUUCUCCGUCGAACUCUUUCCGAAGUCCGCCAAUUCAUCUCCCGAUUGGAAUCGUUGGUUCGCGCAGACUGAAAAUUAGAAUUCGUCGAUUGGAAGGGAGAAUCGGUAAAACUCUUUGAUGGGAGGGAUAGAUCCUCGCGAGUGAUCAGGGAAAAUUGAUGACUGUCUUAAUGGAGGAACGAAGAGGAACAGCGUGGAUCUUCCUGUUCAACGGAAUCGAUAACAAACGUGGAAUCCCCGUCUGAAGACCAUACCGUUUUGUGAAUCCGCGUCCUGAACGACCACUUGCUACUUGUUUACCUCUUCUAUCAUCCUGUAGGAAGAAAAAAGAUCACGGUUCAUGGAUCCUAGAAAAAAAAAAGACUACGCAGAGAGAAAAGAAGAUGCCCAGUCGGUAAGGAUAAGCAUUCUAUCACACCUUCUGUCGGCAUGCCCAGAAUGUACGCAGUCGUGGAAUCUCCCUGGCAACUGUUGCGAUCUAACGAAUCCGAGAGGGAAGGCGACGGAGGGACGAGAGCGGCGAUUAAUCAAUCCUCCAAAACGAGCAACGAAGGCCGGAGCCGAGCAAGAAAAAAUCGACGUUUUCAUCGAAACCGCGCGAAAAAGAGAAAAAAAGAUCGCGACGGAAAAGCUCGAAAUGGAGCGAUUGGAAAAGUCGGAGAAAGAUGAAGCGAUCGAUACGAGGCGAGGAUUUUUGAUCGAGAGAUCGGAAAAAAUACGAACGCGCCGAGCUAUUAAAAGAAUCGAACGAGAGUUCGAUUCGCCUUGCGAACGACGCGUGUGGAUGACACAGGCAGUCAACGUGCGUUAACACCUGAAACUUGUCUUGAAAUAAAAGGAACUCCGUUUCUUUUAACGUUCGGAGUAAAAUAGGUUCCUUAACCCUUUGCACUCGAGAGGUGAGUCUGAGUCACCAUUAGGUGACACGCAGCAAAUCUAUCAGCAAUAAUGAUUCUUUAGAUUUAAUUUCUUUGGAACUCGAAGUAUCGAUAAAAUGAUUGUCGGCGAGGUAAAGGUGACCUUAUUCUCAAAUCUAGAUAGCUUAGAAUUUAUGGUAAUAGAAUGCUAAGAAACAUCUCGAGUUGCUAGCAGAUACCAGAAAAAAAGGCCUCGAAUGCAAAGGGUUAAUAGGUUUCUUGAAUUCCUCAACCCUUUCGACCCUCUUGUCUUUUAUUUAAAUUCUAUCCGUUCCUUUUUUAAAAAUUAAGUGUAUCAACUUAGAAUUAGCUAUAAAUCAAAGCCUGUCGCCAGUAAAUAAACAGUUUUUGCCUGGUAGGUAUAAUUGCGAUUACCGCCUUAUUUUUCAAUUAUUCUCGGUGAAUGUAUGAUUCUGAAUCUGCUCUUGUACUAGAUUUAAAUAACCAGUAGCUUUCAUUCUGCCAUCAAUGAACUUGAUUUCGGUCUUCCCAUUAUGCCCGAUGGCUGCCCAUAACAUCACAGAUCCUCCACCACAUUGACGGCGACUUAAAAUUCUUGCUUCUUUUCGUAAAUCGUGAAAAUAAUAUUUCCAACCACCAGGUCCAUCUAAAUUCAUUUUCUUUUCAUCAGUAAAAAGCACUUUCCGCCAUUUUUUAUUCCACUGUAGAUAAUUAAGAGCAAAAUCAAGUCGACGCUGUUUAUGUACUAUCGACAAAGGUGGUUUAACAGCUGUGCCUUUUGUAUAACUCUUUUUACAGUCUUUACAGAUACCUUUAACCCACAUUCUACAAAAAUUUGCCCAAAUGUAAGCGCUGAAUUUGAUGCACAGCUUAAAACUGCUCUUUUAUCUCUUAAAGUAAGGGUUGAUUGUCUUUCGGAUCUCUUCUUUUUUCCAUAAUCUUUUGGAUUAUUUAAAAAAUUACGAAUUACACACCUACUUCUUUUCAUUUUUAGUGACGUUUAUUUUUAAUUCUCUCCUUUUGCUCUUCUUCGAAAGAUUUCUAUUUUCUCCUAUUCAGUUAGAACUUUACCACGUGGCACGAUUUUAGUUUUAAUCUCCGGUUAGUUUAGUUUUAAGUCUCCGGUUGACUCGAGGAGAUCCUCGGCUGGGAAAUGGUCCGGUUGUUACGGACAUUUGCAAUCGGAGAUACUCAGGUGUUGCGGACAAGCGGCAGGCCACGGCUGAGCAGACUGCUACACGGAUGCACGAAGCCGACGGAAAGGAGCAAGGCGAAGGAAGACGGUGGUAAUGGUGAAACUAUCUUGGGGUUAUGCUCCGGUCACUGACAUCCAGCCGUGACGCUAUAUUCUCUUCUCCUGGACACCGACGUUGCCCUCUGACAGGCUUGCGUCUGCGGAUCGCUGGCCUCUCUUUCACGGUCCCGGCUCGCGCGCUGACUCCUUCCAGCCCUGCGGUACCCCGAUUGGGCAACGAGAUGGGCAUCUGUACGAGGAAAAAUGCGGGAUUCGUGGAAACUGUAGACGCCUGGGAACUUUCUGCCUAAUUGUUUCUUUUUUUUUUCUUUUUUCUUGAUUUGCAACGGGAACGCGCGGAUCGAGUUGUACUUUUAAUUGGCGUUGGGUCUGGAUCACGAUCGAUGCUCUGACGGAAAAUUUUGGCCCAAUUAUUAGAAUAAAUACGAGGCUAUGGGAUCCUCGUAACGAGUAAUAGCGUUCGUGCCUUGCAGGUAUCCGGUAUAUAUUUAAUUCGCUACGUUUUCGACCUCGACGUCAGUCCUCCGUGGUAAAUUAAUUGUUCGAGAAAAUGUAUAUUUGAUGGUAGUAUUUUGAUAUUUUUUUAAAAAUUGUUUCAACGAACAUAAACAUUCCUCUGAGCCCAUUUCUCGAGGACGUAUAUAUACGCCAUUCGCAGUCAAAACGUUAAUUGGCUUCAGAAAAUGAGUUGUUUUAUGAAAAUAGUUAUUGCUUUCAAUUGGCCACGUUAAAACAAUUGCAUUCAUAAGUACACCAUCCUAUUUUGACGGCAAUCAAUUAUCCGCGAUCGUGUACACUAGUACAAUUAACAGGUUGAUCGCCACGUCACCCAUUUUUAAGUGACAGGACUUUUCACCAAGGAAUUAAAUAAAUUACUUCUGAAGGUGAGAUGUUAAAGAAAAUAAGUCUUUAUAAGAUUCAUGAAUUUGGCGAAAUUACAAAAAUAAGUACCACUUUAAAUUCAACAAAAAUAAUUUUCAGUCGUAUCAAAACAAAGUGUCAGGCUUGUAUAAAUUUUCACGAGUUGUUUGGCAGUCAACGUGUUAAUAUCCCUCCAAGAACGUCGAUAGACAUACAACGCCUAAAAGUUACGAUAGAAAAUCAUUUGCCAAUUAUCUUCAGAAAUUUUUACGCAGUUUUCAUCUCUAGAUUAGUGUAUAAUAUUAUUUAAAUUUUCUUUUCAUCAACAGCUUAGAAUAUUUUACAACUUCAGAUUUUUUCCAUAUAAACGUCCAUCUUCUUGGAGGUAACGGAUUAAUUCUCUGUUAAUUAAUUUUAGAUUGAUAGAUCUGUAACGAGCUCUGAGGUAUGUUUAAGUUACCAUUAGAUGCACUUAUAGGGUGGAUGCAAGUACUGUACAGCAUAAACUAUGGUAAUCGGUUUAGUGGCCCUCGCUCACGGUCGAUCACGUAGGUAUGUAUUUAGUAAAGUACAUGUAACGACGAGAUUACAACUGGUUCUGGCACGCGGAAACGGAACGACUACAUCGUUUUUACUUGUCAUUAGUUCUGUUGAGAAACACUGAUGCAACCAUCCAGAUUCAGAUGCAAUUUUCUCAAUUGAUCUUAUUAUCUUAUUUUGUUAUAUCGAUCCAAUAUUUGAAUAGUCAGUUUUAUAUCACAUCCAUCAUAUAUUUUUCCAAAAAAUCAUGCGUGCAAUAUUCGCUAUCUCGUUGCUACUUGGGCAAUUGGUGGACCCAAAAAGAAUAUAUUCCGCUUCACAGUACAAUAAUCAACUAUCAGUACUAUCAACUAUCAAACUUUCCGUUUUAUUUUAAUAGUUCUCUUCUGCAACUAUCACCACUACUUUUUAUUAAACAUGUAACGAAUUUCUUCGACGAAUCGAUUUAUUAGAUCCAGCUAGGAAAAAUGUUUAUAACAAUUGUAGAAUACAAAUUAUAGAUAACAAUUGACACGCAUGAACUAACGAAAAAUUUGAAACGCUUGAUUCAACGACGAUUAAAACUAUAAAUUUUGUCUGCGUCGAUAUAAAUAUUUAGCAAAUGUGAUAAAAACGUGUAAACCGCUACGUCGUACCGAAUACCACCGAUUGAAUUUAGUUUGCAUGGAAUGCGGCCUGGCGCUAAUUUACACUUCGCACUAAAUGGAAUUAUUGAUUCGCGUUAAAUGCAGCCCGGUGUCAAUUUGUACUGCCGUUCGAAAAUCGAAUCUCGCACUACUCGAAACGGUAUUAAUCGCGGUCCGAAUACAUUUAUAAAUAUCUGAUAAAUUAUCCAACACGUGCAGCUACAUUUUAACAAUUUAGUACAGAAAUUAUCGAUUUUUCUGGCACGGAUAUCUACAUAUUCGCGCAUCGAUCGGUGACAAUCGAUUAUUCAUAAUCACGUAUAAAUACGAAAUUCUUCUAGAAAUUGAUUGAUUCUGUAAUCUAGAGCCUUUGUUAGUAUACAAAAUUGUAUAUCACGUAAAAUUAUAUUACAGAAAUAUUAAAAUUUAAUCUGGAGUACUUUUAGUUUUCGAUUGAUUUAUAAAUGAUAAUUCUAAUGUUUUCAAAUUCGCUCGAUUUCUAUAUACUGACGAUCCAAAGAUAUACACUACCAUAAACAAUCUUCACAGUUUGUUUUUAAUAAGGAAUCAUCGCAAUCGAUUUAUAAGAUAGUCUUUAGUGAAUAAAUUAACCUCGUUUUAAUCUAAAAAAUGAUGCAAUAAUGCGUAACUGUUUAUUUCAAUUUUUAGUUUCUUUUUUGUUUUUUAAUUAAUUUUCCUAAUUAACUUGUUUCUUGCUGAACAUUAUCGCAAUAUUUUAAACCAAGGUUACCAAGCCCUCGACUUUAUAAAUAGAAUAGCGCGAUAUUUUAAUGCCGCGAUAGCUCUCUUAUUGAACGCGAUAUUUUAAUAACGCAUAGCUUCCUUAUCGAGGAAAUGCAACAUAAAUUCCUACGUUUAUUGUGUUUCGUGGGUAUCUAUAUCAUAUUACAACUCUGUAUCGUAAUUACUAGACGGCAUAUGCUUAUGCAAACUCGUUUUUUUUAUAGAUAUAGAAAUUAAAUUUAAAUUGAAGUAUUUCUUAUCUUCUCAACGAAGUAACAUGUAUUUUGUACUUGAUAUUUUAUGUAUAUUUUAUGUAUAUUUAUUUAUUUGUUAUUUCAUGUAUAUUUAUUUAUUAUUUUAUGCAUAUUUGAUAUUUGUGCACAUUCUCGUGCACACUCAUGUACUUUCAUUUGGCAUAAAUGCAUGAAUUUAAUAAUUACGAAUUUAUAUUGUCCUGUUUAUAAUUAAAUUUAGUAACUCUUAAGGGUGCAAAAUAAUAAUGCUUCGAAUAUAUGUGUAUUUACAACAAGAGGUAAUAGAAUUAUUUAAGUUAUGAAAAGAAAGAAACAAUGAACAAAUUAUGUCCUCAUAAAUUUCCCUACAUGUUCACUUGCCAUAAAUACAUAAACAUCCGCAGUCCAAUCAUCGUACAUCAAGUUACUUUUCACUAUAAUUUCAAAACUUAAAGCAUCGAAUCUCGCAAUAUUUUUUGACACGCUUCUCCCGUAUUAUACAUGUUACGUCGAAAGAUUCUCCCGUUAAUAACGACGAUGACAAUAAUUCUCAUCCAAAAACCAAUUAAGAAAGUUGCUCCCCGUCGAGUUGCAUCCCCGCCCCAUUAAAAUAUUUACAACGCGGACGAAAUCUAACGGUAAAUAUCACGCGUCUUUUCAAUUCUGUUUCAGACGAACCGUGAACAAUGGUAGUUCGAGUGCCGUCUCGAGGGAAAAAGGAAGAAAGAGUCCAAAGUAGGAUGAACCGCGAACGGUGGUCUUGAUUCCUCGACCGUCAUCGCUGAGUGCAGCUUCGGAGUUCUCUGCGCUCUUCGCCUCUUUCUUCCUUCGUUCUCCUCCCUGGCACCCUAUUUUCCUGCAGCUUCUAAUGGCUCUCGAGGGUCCCUGUCUUAUCGGUAACCCGUUUCCUCGAAUCUUCUCUCAUCGAGGAAUCAGCAGCUCUACUUUCCAGCGGUCCUCUCCCAACGACCCAGCAACGCGAUUCAACCAUUCGAAGAAAGAGGAACACUAGGGGGCAGGGGGGACAACGAUCGCACAAAAAUCGAACGUCACGGACGGGCCUGACUCUUUGCUCUACCCGUACUUUGCCCUUUGGGUGAGCAAAGUUUCAGGUGUGUCUGUGGCAGUCUACCGUCGUGGACGUUGCGAACACGAAUAAAGAUGCUCGAGGUACCCGUUCGUCCUGUAUCUUGGAAUGAAAUUGCGGAGUCUAAUUCUGUGGUAGAGUACAAUGAAUCUAUAGUGAAUCUAUAAACAAUCGUUUGGGAAAAUGGAUGGUCAUUCUUCGUGCGAUCUGUUAUUUUAAAAGCUCUCACGGAAGCGAGUGGCCACGACAGUACUCUUACGCCUGAAAUUUGCUUUUUACCUAGGCCUGUACUCUCUUGCUUGGAGAAAAUAAAGGUGAGCAAAGUUUCAGGUGUGUGAGUGCGUUGGAAUCAACAAGUACGCCUGGAUAACGGAACAACGACGAAACAGAACGUCGAAUAAAAGAAAUAUUACCCUGCGCUAAGCCCUUUCCACCAGACGUCACAGAAUUUAUAAUAUAUAGAUGCGAUAGUUUAUUGUAACGUAUAAAUACAAAGUCCAAUUUCACGUUCCAACGUAUGUAAUUCCUUGUGAAUCGAAUCAAAUUAUAUUAAUCGUAAGCAUUAAUGUUUAAGCAACCCUAUGUAUCACCCUAUGCCUCUUCCAUCAAACGUCAACAAAUUUCAGUUAUUUUACUCGUAAUUCUAAAGCUUUGAUACGAUAUACUAAACGUAAUUAUUCAUUGUAAUGUAUGAAUGCAAAGUCCGACUUCGCAUUCUAAAAUACAUGUGUAAUUGCUUGUACAUCAAAUAAAAUUUUAUUGACUGCGCAUUGAAAAAUUGAAGUCUCAUUACGGACAGCGACUGUUUAACUAAACGCUUGCUUUUAUAAAUUAUAGCCGAAGCAAUAGAAUGUAAGCAAAAAUUCGUUUCAUUUUUUUUUUUUUUUAUAGAUCUCGAUAUAGAUUUAUACCAAACUGAUCAUUGGACAGCAUAAACAGUUUGAAUGCUAUUCGUUAAGUAAAGUGUCGCGUAACCAGCGCGUAAGUAAUUAAUAUGCAAAGACAGUUUUUCCUUCCACGCAGUUUUAUCGGUAUUACGAUGUAUACUGUUCGCGUUAUACGAAGUAAUAUGAAACUCGCGCUUUGGAAAAUUCUCGUAACCGCAGGAGAUGCGUUCAAGAAUCAGUCUAAGAUUAGCAAUGACGUUAGACGGGUCUUGGAAAGGCUAAUAAAUCAAAUCGUGCAUUAGGAUCUGGUUUCCGUCAGGAUCAGGCUUCCCUGUACGUGUAUAAAUCAAUAACAAUGUGGUCGAAGCCAAUGUAAUUGAGAGUAUGUAACUUUAUACUUGAAAGUCAAUAAGAUACUACAUGUACGCGUCGAAGCGAACAAAUACGAGGAGUUUUGGUUAACAGUUUUAAAUAACUUUAAUCCCUCCGAUAUUUACUUUUAUCCCUCUCAGAAUAUAUAAUGUGGCACAUAGCGUAAUUGUAAAUAUAAACGAACUGUCAGAUAAAUAUAUUUAACAAGGAAUUUAAUAUAAUAUAUAGUUUAAUUGUGUAA